GGCAACGACCAUACCACGUUGAAUACACCAGUUCUCAUCCGAUCACUGAAGUUAAGCAACGUCGGGGGCGUGGUUAAUAUUUGGAUGGGUGACCGCUUGUGAACACUACGUGCCAUGGGCA
rfam:Acyrthosiphon pisum strain LSR1 Contig28172, whole genome shotgun sequence.